CCUACGGGAGGCAGCAGUGGGGAAUCUUGCACAAUGGGGGAAACCCUGAUGCAGCGACGCCGCGUGAGUGAAGAAGUAUUUCGGUAUGUAAAGCUCUAUCAUCAGGGAAGAAAAUGACGGUACCUGAUUAAGAAGCCCCGGCUAACUACGUGCCAGCAGCCGCGGUAAUACGUAGGGGGCAAGCGUUAUCCGGAUUUACUGGGUGUAAAGGGAGCGUAGACGGCAGCACAAGUCUGGAGUGAAAUGCCGGGGCUUAACCCCGGGACUGCUUUGGAAACUGUGCAGCUAGAGUGCCGGAGAGGUAAGUGGAAUUCCUAGUGUAGCAGUGAAAUGCGUAGAUAUUAGGAGGAACACCAGUGGCGAAGGCGGCUUACUGGACUGUAACUGACGCUGAGGUUCGAAAGCGUGGGUAGCAAACAGGAUUAGAUACCCCAGUAGUC
rnacentral:rRNA from 1 species